rnacentral:rRNA from 1 species
GAGCACGUAGGUGGGUUUGUAAGUCAGAUGUGAAAGCCUUCUGUUCAACGGGAGAAAUGCAUCUGAAACUGCUAAUCUUGAGUAUAGGAGGGGAGAAUGGAACUUUUGGUGGAGCGGUGAAAUGCGUAGAUAUCAGAAGGAACGUCGGCGGCGAAAGCGAUUCUCUGGCCUAUUACUGACACUCAGUGUGCGAAAGCUAGGGGAGCAAACGGGAUUAGAUACCCCGGUAGUCCUAGCCGUAAACGAUGGGCACUAAGUAGAGGGGAUUACCUAUGUUCUCUCUGCCGUAGCUAACGCAUUAAGUGCCCCGCCUGGGGAGUACGGCCGCAAGGCUAAAACUCAAAAGAAUUGACGGGGGCUCGCACAAGCGGUGGAGCAUGUGGCUUAAUUCGAUGCAACGCGAAAAACCUUACCGGGGCUUGACAUGAUAGAAGUAGGAACCUGAAAGGGGGACGAACGGUAUCCAGUCCGUAGCUAUUACAGGUGUUGCAUGGCUGUCGUCAGCUCGUGUCGUGAGACGUUGGGUUAAGUCCCCUAACGAGCGAAACCCUUGUUUUUAGUUACCAGCGGGUUAUGCCGGGUACUCUAGAAAGACUGCCGUCGUCAAGACGGAGGAAGGUGGGGGAUGACGUCAAGUCAUCAUGGCCCUUAUGCCCCGGGCUGCACACGUGCUACAAUGGUCGGUACAGACGGAAGCGAAGCCGAGAGGUGAAGCGAAUCC